UACGGAGGGGGCAAGCGUUGUUCGGAUUUACUGGGCGUAAGGGGCGCGUAGGCGGCCACGACAAGUCACUUGUGAAAUCUCCGGGCUUAACUCGGAACGGUCAAGUGAUACUGUCGGGCUAGAGUACAGAAGGGGCAACUGGAAUUCUCGGUGUAGCGGUGAAAUGCGUAGAUAUCGAGAGGAACACCUGCGGCGAAGGCGGGUUGCUGGGCUGAUACUGACGCUGAUGCGCGAAAGCCAGGGGAGCGAACGGG
rnacentral:rRNA from 1 species